CUGUUUGUAAUUAUCUUCCCCAGACUAGACUACUACACCCUCUUUAUCAGUGGCUUCCAGGAGCAGGAUUGCCAAGGCAUGAAAGAUCAAGUGCACGGGCAAAUUGCGGCUAAACAUAGAUUUAAGGCUGCAGGCGCCUCUUAUGACACCAUUUGGCCAACACAGAGUCAUUUUCAUUCAUGUAGCCAUAUUCUCAAAGCAGAAUUGUCUCCUCUCCAUUCUCCAUAGGGGAGCAUCAGAGUGAGGCGAUGUCACUUUCUAUUUGUUUUUGUCUCUCUCAGUGUUACACAAGGCGCCCCGAGGAGAGGCGACAGAGUAUUUAUCUGUUCAGCGGACAACGAAUUCUGCAGCUGCGCCUGUGGGACCCCUGAGUCAUGCUGUUCAAAACGGCAGAGGGGGAACUGCCGCACUACAGGCUACACCGCGAAUUAUAGGAGGGAAGCCACUGUAACUCAUCUCUGUGUGAGGCAUACUGACAGCAUCAUCAUCACCUCUGAAGAUGGAACAGAGACGGAGAGCAACGUGACCAUUUUUAUAUUCCGAUUUUCAUUUUUCACGCAGAUACAGUAAACUAGUUGGUGAGAAUUUUCAUGCACAUUGGAAGAUUAGAAAACGGGGUAAUGGUGGCCAUGCGAAUUAAAAUCCUGGAGAGGAGGAGGAGGAGGAGGAGGAGGUGGAGGAUGAGGCUGACCGAUUCUGGAGGGUUCUUUCUCAUCCUACCUUCAUCCGUCUUCCUUGCCAUCCCUCUCUCCACCCACCCGUAUCCCCUCCAGCGAGAGUCAUCAUGUGUUAGCGUCAGUGUUUCCAGUAGAGCUGCAGGAGGACGAGGGAGAGUGACACUGUGUCCUAUGUAACACACACCCAGCCAAGUUCACCCCCUCCCCCCAUCUCCUCCUUCACCCACAUCCUUCCUCUUUCCCUCUUCACUUCCUUUACCUUUUCUCCUCAUCAUAUUCCUUUGUACUGUCUUGACUCCUUUUCUUUCUUUCCCUAAAUUCUCUCUGCUGUUACUCCAGAUCUCAUAAUGUGCAUUUUACUUUGCAGUGUCAGUGUCUGUUUGUGUGUGUGUGCACACUAUAUAUCAUAGUGUGCCCUGUAGUGGCAGUCUACUCUGAUUUGCUCACUCUGCUGUGCUCAGAGGCCACGUGAACACACAGUGACAGAUGGAGGAAUAGCAGGGAGAGAGGUGUAGUAAGAGUUGGGGGAAAAACAGGC